CAAACUACCCUACAGACCGCGAUAACCUCGGGAAACUGAGGCCAAUAGCGGAUAUAACUCUCAGACUGGAGUGCCGAGAGUUAGAAACGUUCCGGCGCUGUAGGAUGUGGCUGCGGCCGAUUAGGUAGAUGGUGGGGUAACGGCCCACCAUGCCGAUAAUCGGUACAGGUUGUGAGAGCAAGAGCCUGGAGACGGUAUCUGAGACAAGAUACCGGGCCCUACGGGGCGCAGCAGGCGCGAAACCUUUACACUGCACGACAGUGCGAUAGGGGGACUCCGAGUGUGAGGGCAUAUAGCCCUCGCUUUUCUGAACCGUAAGGUGGUUCAGGAACAAGGACUGGGCAAGACCGGUGCCAGCCGCCGCGGUAAUACCGGCAGUCCAAGUGAUGGCCGAUAUUAUUGGGCCUAAAGCGUCCGUAGCUUGCUGUGUAA
rnacentral:rRNA from 1 species